rnacentral:rRNA from 1 species
AACUGAAGAGUUUGAUCAUGGCUCAGAUUGAACGCUGGCGGCAGGCUUAACACAUGCAAGUCGAGCGGGGGAAGGUAGCUUGCUACCGGACCUAGCGGCGGACGGGUGAGUAAUGCUUAGGAAUCUGCCUAUUAGUGGGGGACAACAUCUCGAAAGGGAUGCUAAUACCGCAUACGUCCUACGGGAGAAAGCAGGGGAUCUUCGGACCUUGCGCUAAUAGAUGAGCCUAAG